UACGUAGGGUGCGAGCGUUAAUCGGAAUUACUGGGCGUAAAGCGUGCGCAGGCGGCGCGUUAAGACAGGUGUGAAAGCCCCGAGCUUAACUUGGGAAUUGCGCUUGUGACUGGCGUGCUGGAGUGUGGCAGAGGGAGGUGGAAUUCCACGUGUAGCGGUGAAAUGCGUAGAGAUGUGGAGGAACACCUGUGGCGAAGGCGCCUUGCUGGCCGAUUUCUGACGCUGAGGCGCGAAAGCGUGGGGAGCAAACAGG
rnacentral:rRNA from 1 species